rnacentral:lncRNA from 10 species
GAGCGUGCGGCUUCUACUGCGGCUGCGCAAGCUCGACGCGCGCACUCUUGUCUGCUUACGAGGGCUCCUCCCUUCAGCUUUGGUCCCUCGGGGCGUCUGGGCAGCCUACGCUUUCCGACUGGAAUCAGCCAUUUUACCAAGAAAGUUGGGUUUCUUUUACUGGCAAAUAGUACUUCAAGAGCACAGUCUUAUGUAAGCAUGACCCAUCUGCCUGGCACCAGCACCUGGGGCUGCCAGGCAGCCACCCCUGCAGCUGUGUUGACAGGACCUGGCAGAGGGACUGACCCACCUUUGGAAAAUGACACCAGCAAUAUCAGGAUGUGUCAACUGGAUUUAUGCUAAGAAAAUAGGAUUUUUGGUGUUCCUCUGUUUCCCAAAGUUUGAGACACUUUCAGACACUCUGCUUUGCGGUUGUGGCCGAUGUUACCCAUGGGUGGGACUUUUGCUUUGCUCUAGAUUUUUGUAACACCCUGGGGAGUUUCAGGGGCCAAUGCUGAGAGAAGACCACAGGCUGACACAUCAUGAGGUAUGUUGGUAAAACAGUCCCGGCUGGCCGAGAGGC